UACGGAAGGCAGCAGUGGGGAAUAUUGCACAAUGGGCGCAAGCCUGAUGCAGCCAUGCCGCGUGUAUGAAAAAGGCCUUCGGGUUGUAAAGUACUUUCAGUCGUGAGGAAGGUGUUAAGGUUAAUAACCUUAGCAAUUGACGUUAGCGACAGAAGAAGCACCGGCUAACUCCGUGCCAGCAGCCGCGGUAAUACGGAGGGUGCGAGCGUUAAUCGGAAUUACUGGGCGUAAAGGGCACGCAGGCGGUUAAUUAAGUUGGAUGUGAAAUCCCCGGGCUUAACCUGGGAAUGGCAUUCAAGACUGGUUAGCUAGAGUCUUGUAGAGGGGGUAGAAUUCCAUGCGUAGCGGUGAAAUGCGUAGAGAUGUGGAGGAAUACCGGUGGCGAAGGCGGCCCCUGGACAAAGACUGACGCUCAUGUGCGAAAGCGUGGGGAGCAAACAGGGAUUAGAUACC
rnacentral:rRNA from 1 species